GCAACGAGUAAGCCAGUUAAAUAUUACCACGGGCAAGAAACAAACAUGACAGCUGAAGAGGAAAAGAUGAAAUAUAAAACUGUGGAAAGAGGGAUGGCAGAGCCUGAGAGGGCUUGUCCUAAGAAGGAGGCUGGGUGCAAUGAAAGGUGAGAAGGAGUCCGUGAAAAGGAGUCGCCUAAUAAGGUAAAACUCUGUGUUGAAACAAGCACAAAAGGAAAGAAUUCCCUGCAAUGUAUCGAAACAAGCACCAAAAGGAAAGAAUUCCCUGCAAACUGUCAUUGCUAACAGAGAAUUAUUGGUAACAUUUUUCA